rnacentral:lncRNA from 1 species
CCCCGGAGUGACAAUAACCGGAACCACUCCCGGUGAUGACCAUAGUUUGAGGAGUUCAUGUGUUCACCAAGUGCUAAUGUGUUGGUCCGGUUCUUUAUUAAAGGAGAACCUUAAUAUCCCGUAAUUUCUUUUGGACCCGCUGCCACGGGAGGAAUGGACAAUAGAUGUCAUGCAAGUUCUUUUCCCUAAGCACGUAUGACGACACACGGAAUGCAUGCCUACAUCACAUUGACGAACGGGAGCUAGCCACAUAUCUAUCCGUGUUAUGACUGUUGCUUGAUGAAUAUCAUCCAAACAAAUCACCGACCCAUUGCCUACGAGUUUGACCCACUGUUGCUAUUGCUUGUUUUGCUCUGCUGUUGUUACUUGUUUUGCUCUGCUGCUGUUACUACUAUUGCUACUUGCUACUGCUGUCACUACUGCUGUUCCUUGUCAC